CUGGAAGGGCAAGGGGUGGUGGGUGUCACUAAUAGAAACCAGCCCCAGCUACUUCACUGCAGGCUGGUGCCCUGGUGAAGGUGAAUCAGUCAGAGGAGUGCCGACCGCCCACGGGGCUGCACCAUAUCAUGGUUCCCACUAGCAAUAUAUGAGAGUUCCAGUUGCUCCACAACCUUGCCAACAUAUGACAUGACAGGGUCUCACUGUGUCACACAGGCUGGAGUGCAGUGGUGUGAUCAUGGCUCAUUGCAGCUCCAAACUUGUAGGCACAAGUUAUCCUCCCACCUCAGCCUUCCAAGUAGCUAAGACUACAGGCAUGUGCCACCAUGCCUGGCUAAGUUUUAAUUAUUUUUUGGAGAGAUGGGGGUCUCACUAUGUUGCCCAGGCUGGUCUCAAAUUCCUGGGGUCAAGCAAUCCUCCUGCCUCAGCCUCCUGAAAUGCUGAUAUUAUGGGUGUGAGCCACCA
rnacentral:sRNA from 1 species